CACGUAGGGUGCAAGCGUUGUCCGGAAUCAUUGGGCGUAAAGAGCUCGUAGGCGGCUUAGUAAGUCGGGUGUGAAAACCCCAGGCUCAACCUGGGGACGCCACCCGAUACUGCUAUAGCUAGAGUCCAGUAGGGGAGUGUGGAAUUCCCAGUGUAGCGGUGAAAUGCGCAGAUAUUGGGAGGAACACCAAUGGCGAAGGCAGCUUGCUGGGACGGUACUGACGCUGAGACGCGAAAGCGUGGGGAGCAAACAGG
rnacentral:rRNA from 1 species